rnacentral:rRNA from 1 species
UACGUAGGGACCAAGCGUUGUUCGGAUUUACUGGGCGUAAGGGGCGCGUAGGCGGCGUGACAAGUCACUUGUGAAAUCUCUGAGCUUAACUCAGAACGGCCAAGUGAAACUGUUGUGCUAGAGUGCAGAAGGGGCAAUCGGAAUUCUUGGUGUAGCGGUGAAAUGCGUAGAUAUCAAGAGGAACACCUGAGGUGAAGACGGGUUGCUGGGCUGACACUGACGCUGAGGCGCGAAAGCCAGGGGAGCAAACGGG